CCCAAUCCCGUCGCUGUCUCCUUCCCCAAUCGCCCGUGCCCGUAGGAACCCUAGCCUAUCCCCAUAAGCCGCCGCCUACCUCCGCAAAUCCAUGGCCUAUCUCGUCCUCUCCCUAAUCCCUGCUCCCCAUUCACCACCUCUUUGUGCUGCCAAGGACAGGGAUAGAGGGGAGGCAGCCACGAGCUGGAUGUGGUCGCGCGGAGGCGCGCGAGCAUCGGUGCUGGUCACGCGGUCGAGAGGAGGAAGCAGGGGAGGACGGCACGAGACGAGGGGGCCGCCGAGCACGACGACGAGGCUCGCGGGGAGGGCGCCCCCAGCACCCUGCUCGAGCUUGCCCUCAGGCGGCGAUGGCGGACAGCGACGGCGAUGGUGCGGCCCACGAAGGCGCGCGGGGCGCGCAGGGCGCCGGCAGCGCCUCGAGCUUCCGGCGUGCAUCCCUGGGCACGGGAGUAGGAGGCGCCAUCAUCCUGGAUGUCGAGCUGGCGCCGACGCGCGGAUCUCAGCGGCGCGGGAUCCGGUGGGUGCCAGCCACGAGCACAUCAACUUCAGGUCUCUUGGUUAUUUGAGAAAAUGAGAAGUAUUAGAUGAUUUCAGUAUCGUGCUUACCUAUCAAGAGUAGGGCCGUUCUGAUGAUCAAGAGCACAGCCAGCGGGGCAUUUAGGAUACUAGAAAAUUAUCUCCAGGUAUAUUUCCGAAGUUCGUGGUAGUCGGCCAGGUCCUACCAGCACCUGGGAACAAAGCAUCGACGGCGGUAACCUCGCUAGCUCCACACUGUCCUAGAAUUUUGGGUGGAAGAAGCAUGAGUUUGUCCGAGCUUGAUGUCAUAUCGUUAUUUGGUAUGUCCCUUCGUAGGCCACCUCACUCAUUUGCUGGUUUGCUCCUGCACUCCGUCUCACAUCUCCUCUC